ACCCAUAUACCCGGUUCUUUUCCCCUUUCCUCACUUGAUCGGAGUGAAAAUGAGAGAGAGGGAGAGAAAAUCCCGUUCGAUGCCUCCUUCAAAAUUCCCGACUCUAUUCUCUCUCUCUCUCUCUCUCUCUCUCUCGAUCUCAAAUCUCCUUGAGCUCUCUCUCGUCAUUCUCUCGGAUCUCUCUCCCUCGACCUCUCUCGGAUCUCCUUCAUCCCCGCUGCCGGCAUCCCACCGCGCCACCACCGUUGCCGCCGCCUCCUAAAACUCAUCGAGGCAUCUUCAUCCACAUCAAAGUUGCAGAAGACUGUUUUUCCUGAACAUGGGUCAAGUUUUUGUAUGAAAACAUUCCAUUCUCAGAGAAUGAGCGUGAAAGUAUUAGGCUUUUGAUUCAAAGCAGUAUAUAUAGCUAUCUGGGUGUACCACUUGAGGGCCGUGAACGGUUUGAAGAAGAGGCUUUGGCUGAGUAAAAGAAGAAACGACCUUGUGAUAGGACAGGGGAUGAAGGAUGCGAGAUUGAUGUUUUGAUGGGCUCACUAAAGUCAAAAACCAAGGACUUCGGCAUAUUUUUCCCUCUCUUUGGUUAAGAUUAUCUAUAUGAAAUUAAUUGUAAUAGACUUUGUUGGUUAAGAUCUUCUAUAUGAAAUUGAUUGUAAUA